UAGUCUGGGAAACUGCCUGAUGGAGGGGGGUAACUACUGGAAACGGUAGCUAAUACCGCAUAAUGUCGCAAGACCAAAGUGGGGGACCUUCGGGCCUCAUGCCAUCAGAUGCGCCCAGAUGGGAUUAGCUAGUAGGUGGGGUAAUGGCUCACCUAGGCGACGAUCCCUAGCUGGUCUGAGAGGAUGACCAGCCACACUGGAACUGAGACACGGUCCAG
rnacentral:rRNA from 1 species